rnacentral:lncRNA from 1 species
ACCGAGGGCCGCCGAGCGCAAGAUAACCACCGCUUCCAAGAGGCAGAACUUCAUCCUCAUCCUCUAAUGGACUAUGGAAAGAAGAAAAACAGUCCUUUUACAGUGAAGAAACUCAGCAGAUGCUCCCUCAACAUCGCUGGUGGUAAGUCUUGUGGCUACUGGGUACCCCCUGAUACAAUGACAGGGGCACCUCACCUCUGUGAUCUUUUACCCAAAAACUAAUAACCUCAGUCUCAUGAGAAAAACAUCAGACAAACUCAGAUGAGGGGCAUUCUACAAAAUACGUGAGCAGCACUCUUCGAAUGUGUCAAGGUCGUGAAAAACAAGAAAAGACUCAGAACUGUUAGGGACCAGAGGAGCCUCAGGAGAUGACGGAGACUGAAUGCCAUGUGGGAUGCCGGAUGAGAUCAUGGAACAGAAAAAGGGCAUUAGUGGGAAACUGGCGAAAUCCUAAUAGAGUCUGUCGUCCAGCUAAUAAUGUUUUACUAAUGUUAACUUUUUAGUUUUGACAAAUGUAGCAUGAUUAUGUAAGAUGUUCACAUUAGGGGAAGGUGGGGGAAGAGUAUGGGAACUUUGUGGAACUUUGCUGUAAAUCUAAAAUCACUAAACAAAAAUUAUUCAAAAAAUCAGGGUGUAGAUAUUUAUUAGUAUAGAAAUGUAUUCACAACAUAUUAAGGGGAAAGUAUGUAUGGCCUCACAUAGUUUUUGCUGAAUGAGACCGUAUUUGUAAAAACUCUAAUAACAAGGUGUAUGUCUACAUGAAUGUGUAUAUAUGCACAUGUAGGCUGGGCACGGUGGCUCAUGCCUGUAAUCCC